rnacentral:rRNA from 1 species
UACAGAGGGUGCGAGCGUUAAUCGGAAUUACUGGGCGUAAAUCGUGCGCAGGCGGUUCGUUAAGUCAGAUGUGAAAGCCCCGGGCUCAACCUGGGAACUGCAUUUGAAACUGGCGAGCUUGAGUAUGGCAGAGGGGGGUGGAAUUCCGCGUGUAGCAGUGAAAUGCGUAGAGAUCGGGAGGAACAUCCGUGGCGAAGGCGACUACCUGGACCAGCACUGACACUGAGGCACGAAAGCGUGGGGAGCAAACAGG